ACUGGCAUAAAGCCUGUGUAAAGAGAGAAAGCUGAUUUACUCCGACUGGCGAAUCAUGUUCUUUCAUGUCCCUGUGGAACAUCUGUUUACAGACAAGUUGCCAAUUUCAACAUGUUUUGUCCUAAUACUGCUACAUCGGUAGUCAAUAAGAAAAGUAAAAAAAUCAAUACUUACUUACAACCUCCUACUCUGAUUCAUAACAUCCAAAGUGGAAAAUAUCACAAGGAAAAUUGGGACAUUAAAUCUAACCUCUUGCCACUACAGUAAACUGAUAGUUGUAACAGUAGUACGUCAGCUAGGCUAAACAUCGGUCACCUGGAUCUGGCUUCAACUCUUGUUCCAUUUGUUGCAGAUACGGAUUUCAAAAUGAGCUUUACUGGUAAACUCAAGCAUGUUUCAUCAGUGCAUUCUUAUCGUUCAGAUACCAGUUAAAAGGACAAGACAGACCAACACAAACGCUGGCGGUGCACAGCGGGUGGCCGUACUGUCACCGCUGACCACAAUGGCCGUCAUUUUCUGUUCAUUUCCAGACAUGUCUUCAUGUUUGAUCACAAUCGUUCGUCGACACCCAGCAGGAGAUCUACUGCACGCGGCCGACGUUCCUGUUGGUCCAGCUCGUCCUUAUAACUGACAUUGACCGGUACCAAUACAAUUACUAGUUGUGUGCCCAAAUGGCCCAGUUCCUUAAAUAAAUAACAAAUACAAUUUAAAAAAAAUAUAUACACACACACUGCUUUAGACCAGAGCCAUUUGGACCCUGGUCUCAAGUAGUGCACUAUAUAGGGAAUAGGGGGCCCCAUAGGACUCUGGUCUAAAGUAGUGCACUAUGUAGGGAAUAGGGGGCCAUCUGGGAUACAUGUCCAUGCUGGACCAAUACAUAUGGCAGUGAUAGUAACCUGGUCUCUGUGGGAACUCGGCUGGAUAGUCAAUCCUUGGGCGUUUCCUGUUGUGAAUGUCAUAUUCCUCGGGCCGACGCCUACAUGAAUUAGGUAAACAAUUGAGACAAGCACCACGAUACAGCACAGCAUCCUAGUUGCCCUUAAGUCAUAAUAUAACUGUGUAAAACAUCUAGUAUCAUCUGAAAAGCAUAUGUAUACAUAUAUACACCAAAACAUUUACAUGAACUAGUAACAAAAAUAAAAAUAAAAAACCUAUUGACAGCUUGAGAAACAAAUUGAUUUUAGCCUUUUAUCACCAUUCUGUCUCUUCUGAGCUCAUCCACCUCCAUAAAGGGGGAAACUUAAUUUAUGACCAAAAUUCAGGAUGCAUUUCAUUGAAUCUUGACAGUAUUCCCAAAUAUAUAUAUAUAUUUUUUAAACACUAAACAUGUAUAGACAGUUAUAAUGAGCAGACUGCAUCAAUCAACCAUUAUAUUCUGAAUGAUAUCUGACUGAAUCAACCAUUAUAUUCUGAAUGAUAUCUUACUGAAUCAACCAUUAUAUUCUGAAUUAUAUCUUACUGAAUCAACCAUUAUAUUCUGAAUUAUAUCUGACUGGUUGUGGACAGCUCCAUUAAAACAGUGAAUUGACCAGUAAGUUGUUUUUGUUCAGGUCGGUCCUAUGAUAGUUCAACUCAUUCUGUAGCUAAAACAGGAUGUUUACAGUACUGUAACUAUUGGAAGUACAGCCUAGUUACCUGUUUGGGGACGGUUUGGGAUAUCACUUGUCUCCAAUAAGGAGCUAGAGUUCUAUUCUAACAGCUUCUGACUAGCCAUCAAUAACCACGUUAGCACUAAGUGAAUGAUCAUUAUUACUCCACAACACAACUUUCCAUGUUCAAUUCAAAAAUCUACCAGAUAGUAAAAUGUUGUCGUGUUUGUUUUUACAGCUGGGAUAAUGACUGUCUACAGGAAAAUGAAGAAAGAGCCGGUUAAAAUUGUAACAUACCGCUUUCUUGUAGUUUUGUGACCUGUUACCGUUGACAUAUAUUAAGAUAUCAAAAGUUCAUAUAGAGACAGUCCAUCUUACGGUUUAGGGUCUACAGCCACAAAGACAUUACAAGGAUGGGGCCGGGCUGGGGAGGGCAAAGGGGGUGAUUGAUAAGGGUGAUUGAUGCAGUCCAUUGCAAUCGAAAAGACCAGGGGAUGAACUUCACGUCGGCCAUUUUAUAAAACCAAAAAGGUGACGGCCCCCUUUGGCUUAGAACAUCCCUUCCUCGUGGUGUUAUUCUCAGUCCAUUGAGGCCUUAAAAAGGAAAGGAGUGGGGUUGUAUCAUUCUGCCAGUGGGUCUCCUCCUACCUUAUUCUCAGUCCUUUAGGUCAGGGUAUGGAAACACUCCUGUCCUUUAGGUUAGGGUAUGGAAACACUCCUGUCCUUUAGGAAACACUCCUAACCUAGUCCUUUAGGUCAGGGUAUGGAAACACUCCUGUCCUUUAGGUUAGGGUAUGGAAACACUCCUGUCCUUUAGGAAACACUCCUAACCUAGUCCUUUAGGUUAGGGUAUGGAAACACUCCUGUCCUUCAGGAAACACUCCUAACCUAGUCCUUGAGGUUAGGGUAUGGAAACACUCCUGUCCUUCAGGAAACACUCCUAACCUAGUCCUUUAGGUUAGGGUAUGGAAACACUCCUGUCCUUUAGGAAACACUCCUAACCUAGUCCUUUAGGUUUCUCUAACCACCUACCACCAGGUGCCAUUCAUUCCAGAUGAAGAAACUUUAACAAAGCUGGCAGGCUCUCUCAGCACCACAACCAUCUCCAGUCCUGUUUGGUUGUGUGGGGGGGGAA